rnacentral:rRNA from 1 species
GUCGAGCGCCCCGCAAGGGGAGCGGCAGACGGGUGAGUAACGCGUGGGAAUCUACCCUCUACUACGGAAUAACGCAUGGAAACGUGUGCUAAUACCGUAUGUGUCCUUCGGGAGAAAGAUUUAUCGGUAGGGGAUGAGCCCGCGUUGGAUUAGCUAGUUGGUGGGGUAAAGGCCUACCAAGGCGACGAUCCAUAGCUGGUCUGAGAGGAUGAUCAGCCACAUUGGGACUGAGACACGGCCCAAACUCCUACGGGAGGCAGCAGUGGGGAAUAUUGGACAAUGGGCGCAAGCCUGAUCCAGCCAUGCCGCGUGAGUGAUGAAGGCCUUAGGGUUGUAAAGCUCUUUCACCGGAGAAGAUAAUGACGGUAUCCGGAGAAGAAGCCCCGGCUAACUUCGUGCCAGCAGCCGCG